CAGGCCUAACAUAUGCAAGUCGAGCGCCGUAGCAAUACGGAGCGGCAGACGGGAGAGUAACACGUGGGAACGUGCCCUUCAGUCCGGAACAACCCGGGGAAACUUGGGCUAAUACCGGAUACGUCCGUAAGGAGAAAGAUUUAUCGCUGAAGGAUCGGCCCGCGUCUGAUUAGCUAGUUGGUGGGGUAACGGCCCACCAAGGCGACGAUCAGUAGCUGGUCUGAGAGGAUGAUCAGCCUCACUGGGACUGAGACACGGCCCAGACUCCUACGGGAGGCAGCAGUGGGGAAUAUUGGACAAUGGGCGCAAGCCUGAUCCAGCCAUGCCGCGUGGGUGAUGAAGGCCCUAGGGUUGUAAAGCCCUUUCGGCGGGGAAGAUAAUGACGGUACCCGCAGAAGAAGCCCCGGCUAACUUCGUGCCAGCAGCCGCGGUAAUACA
rnacentral:rRNA from 1 species